UGUAGGAGUGAGCCUGCUCGCGAUAUCGGUAUAUCUGCCAACAUUCAUGUCACUGACAGACCGCUAUCGCGAGCAGGCUCACUCCUACA
rnacentral:antisense_RNA from 1 species